rnacentral:rRNA from 1 species
UACGUAGGGUGCAGGCGUUAAUCGGAAUUACUGGGCGUAAAGCGUGCGCAGGCGGUCUUUUAAGUCAGAUGUGAAAUCCCCGGGCUUAACCUGGGAACUGCGUUUGAAACUGGAAGGCUUGAGUGUGGCAGGAGGGGGGUGGAAUUCCACGUGUAGCAGUGAAAUGCGUAGAGAUGUGGAGGAACACCGAUGGCGAAGGCAGCCCCCUGGGCUAACACUGACGCUCAUGCACGAAAGCGUGGGGGAGCAAACAGGG